CUUGCUAACGAGUGGUUAGCAGUUGCUAACCGCAUUAACCUAGUUAGCAAAACACAAUAAAAAGUUACAUCUAAAUAGCUAACGUUAGAUACAACGCCAAAUACGAUUUAGCGGUUUGUUGUCAUUUAGCUAGCUAUCUAGCUAGCUCGUUAGCUAGCUAUGAAGUUGGCUGGCUAGCUUGGUCAGAUCAGUUGAAUGGUAAUUUUUAUAGCCCAUGUAUGUAUUGGAAAGACACGGGUAGUAGGAAAUGGGUGAAUUAUAUUUGUUUUUAGCAGCGAGUCUGAUUCCCGGGUGGGUUUGAAAUAGAACUUACAGUAUUUAUCAAUAUUAAAUACAUGAAUAAUUGCUGCUGGUGACUGGUUGUACCGUAAAGUGACGUUGACUUUCCUUUUUAAAAUAAGUUGUUCUGUCAGAUAUCUAACAAUCGACUGUUUUCAGUUUAGAGAUUGUCAUCAGGGCUUUUUGAUGAGUUUGUUUUUGUAGUUUAUUGGUGCAAAAUGGAUGUUAAGAUAGAGGACGAUGAAGCAGAGAGAUCCCAAGUAACCAUUUGGUCUGAUUCAAUUAAUGCCUGUAUAGAUUACCCACAUUCUCCAGUGUCAGGAAACACAGAAACAAGUUAUCUGGAAACCAAAACCGAUUCAACAUAUGAACAUGACUAUACAGUGAUCCAAACUACCAACAAUUUAUCAGACAGUUAUUGUCUUUCUGAGAUUGAUGUAAAACUUGAGGAGAAUGACAUGGGAAUAUCCCCAACUGUCCCAUGGUCUUCGUGUUCCUAUGUGGGUUUACCAAAAGAGCAUUCACAUGUACCUUCCAUCAGUUCCCAAACAACAAGCCAAGGGCAGAUUUUACGUAUUUUCCCUGAAAAGACAGGCCCAAGUGAUGGGGAGAAUAAUGCUGUCAAAGUGGUUUAUUUCUGUAAUGCCCAAGAUCCCGUUAGCACAUCUGAAGGACAUUUUCUCAAAGAGGAGUCAUGGCAUGGAUCACCGUCCAGUGAUAUUCCCAUAGCAAAUGCAUUCACCCUCUGUGGUUCAUUUGAAGCUCAAAUCAACCCAUCUUCACAGGUGUUUAGCGUAAACCAAACCCAGACCAAUAAUGAAUUGCCAUUGCCUGCUGACAAUGUUCAUCUAGCAAGAUAUAGUACUGACACUCCUUCUGUGCUAACCUCGCCUGCUACAGAAAGCGGCUGCAAUUUAGCUGUAUCUACUAGAUCGAGGCCUAUUCUUUCCGAUUGUGAGCCAUUCAACUUUCCUUCUGAUGAAGACGAAGACUACAAUGGCGAUGAAAGACGAAGACUGCAAUGCCAAAAAACGAUAGAUGAGUAUAUACGGCAGUGUCGUGUCAGUUACUCAAGAAAAACCCCAAGACAGUUUGGAAGGUUUUGGAAAGCUCCAUACCCGAAGUGCAAAGAACUGGGUGUAGAUUUCAAUGUUGGAUCUGGAGCGAAACAGAAACUUGAUCGUCAUUUACUGACAAAUGGUGUAAUGGUUGAGGUGUCUCAAUAUGCUAGAGAGAUUAAUAGAGCUCACCAGCAUGUUAUCUAUGAUAUUCUAGAAUACAACUUUGAUCUUGGUGUUGGUAAUGUACGAUAUGAAUUUUCCUCCCGGACUUUGUUAAAACUAAAAGAAAUGAAAAAGAAUACCAGGAGGACACAACCUGAGUGGUUAGCAGAAGUGUUUGAACUUCCUGAUCCAAAGAUACUCAAAGCAAGCAACUCCUCUCUUAAACGGGCAAGAUCCAAUUUGCAUAGCAGCGUCUCAGAAAAUCGAACACCCUUUGACGUCUGUAUAAAGGAGGAGUCUGUUCUGGACUUGAUAUCUCCUCCGCAUGUGAAGACUGAAAGCCUCUUUACUGAGACAGUUUUAACACGGUGUGCGGAUGAGACUGCACUCCUUGGCCCUGAAAAGGGACCUAAUGAAAAAUGCACAAAGGAUGAGGCUGAUCUGGAUGUGAUCUAUCCUCAACAUGUCCAGACAGAAACCAUCUUCACUCAGACAGACAUAACAAUGAAGCAAUCCUUAAUGAUGCCCACACUAGAAGAAGCAUUGGAGUACCUCUACCCUCUCUGUAAGGAAAAAGGACUUGACCUGGAUGUGAAGUCUAAAUGUGUGAAAAUGGAUAAACUUGACUUGCAUCUAUUGACCAGAGAUGUCAUGUUAGAAUUGGCUGAUUUUGCUUCAGAUGUGUGUGGAACUUACAGGCAGGUUGUCUGUGAUGUUCUAGAACAAAAUUUUGAUCUGGAUUUACAAAGUGGGAAAACUGAGCUCGCUGUAGAUAUUAUGUAUAAGCUACACGCUUUGUUGAAAAUGACAGAUAUACAAAAGCGAAGGAGAUGUGGAUAUGACAAGGAUACUUUCAUGAAAAAACGACCCAAACAUAAGAAUCCCGCAGUGAUUUUCCGUAGACUGAAUUUCACUACAGCAUCACUUGUGCCGAAAUACCGAAGACUGAAAGAAAUAACAAAAAGGAGGAGGUUGGAUUUAAUGAGAAAAAAAAGAGAAAUGGACAUGUUAAUAGCCAGGGUGUCGAAGGGGGGCAAUUUGCUGGAAGUCAGACAAGUAGAACCUCAUUGGGUCAAGCUAGAGAGCAUCUCUGAUAAGAUUGACCUUUGUGCUGAUGAAACAAAGCAAAAUGUUACCAUCUUAGAACAUUCAAAUGUGACGUUUAACACUAAAGAACUGGUGAAAGACUGCUACCCACUCUGUCAUGAAAUAGGUCUGGGCCUUGAUGUUGCAUCCAAACCUGCAUUCACUCACUGUGGUUCAUUUGAAGCUCAAAUCAACCCAACUUUACAGGUGUUUAGCGUAAACCAAACCCAGACUAAUAAUGAAUUGCCAUUGCCUGCUGACAAUGUUCAUCUAGCAAGAUAUAGUACUGACACUACUUCUGUGCUAACCUCACCUGCUACAGAAAGCGGAUGUAAUUUAGCUGUAUCUACUAGACCGAGGCCUAUUCUUUCCGAUUAUUGUGAGCCAUUCAACUUUCCUUCUGAUGAAGACGAAGACUACUAUGGCGAUGAAAGACGAAGACUGCAAUGCCAAAAAACGAUAGAUGAGUAUAUACGGCAGUGUCGUGUCAGUUACUCAAGAAAAACCCCAAGACAGUUUGGAAGGUUUUGGAAAGCUCCAUACCCGAAGUGCAAAGAACUGGGUGUAGAUUUCAAUGUUGGAUCUGGAGCGAAACAGAAACUUGAUCGUCAUUUACUGACAAAUGGUGUAAUGGUUGAGGUGUCUCAAUAUGCUAAAGAGAUUAAUAGAGCUCACCAGCAUGUUAUCUCUGAUAUUCUAGAAUACAACUUUGAUCUUGGUAUUGGUGAUGAAGUACGAUAUGAAUUUUCCGCCCGGACUUUGUUAAAACUAAAAGACAUGAAAAAAAAUCACAGGAGGACACAACCUGAGUGGUUAGCAGAAGUGUUUGAACUUCCUGAUCCAAAGACAAUCAAAGCAAGAGACUCCUCUCUUAAAUGGGCAAGGUCCAAUUUGCAUAGCAGCGUCUCAGAAAAUCGAACACCCUUUGACGUCUGUAUAAAGGAGGAGUCUGUUGUGGACUUGAUAUCUCCUCUGCAUGUGAAGACUGAAAGCCUCUUUACUGAGACAGUUUUAACACGGUGUGCGGAUGAGACUGCACUCCUUGGCCCUGAAAAGGGACCUAAUGAAAUAUGCACAAAGGAUGAGGCUGAUCUGGAUGUGAUCUAUCCUCAACAUGUCCAGACAGAAACCACAAUAGAAGAAGCAUUGGAGUACCUCUACCCUCUCUGUAAAGAAAAAGGACUUGACCUGGAUGUGAAAUCUAAAUUUGUGAAAAAGGAUAAACUUGACUUGCAUCUAUUGACCAGAGAUGUCAUGUUAGAAUUGGCUGAUUUUGCCUCCGAUGUGUGUGGAACUUACAGGCAGGUUGUCUGUGAUGUUCUAGAACAAAAUUUUGAUCUGGAUUUACAAAGUGGGAAAACUGAGCUGGCUCAUGAGAUUAUGGAUGUGAUAGGAUCAGUUUUGAGGAGAAGGACACAGUUACAAGGUCAAAGGAGAUGUGAAUUUUACAAGGAUACUUUCAUGAAAAAACGUCGCAAACAAAGGAAUUCUGCAGAGAUUUCCAAUAACCAGAAGGCCACUACAGCAACACUUGAGCCGAAAUACCAAAGGCUGAAAGAAGUAACAAAAAGGAGGAGGUUGGCUUUAAUGAAGAAUAAAAAAGAAAUGGACAUGUUAAUAGCCAGGGCGUCGAAGGGAGGCAAUUUGCUGGAAGUCAAGCUAGAGAGCAUCUCUGAUUAAGAUUGACCUUGCACUUUGUGCUGAUGAAACGAAGCAAAAUGUUACCAACUUAGACCAAUCAUAUGUGACGUUUAACACACAAAUGGGUGUAAGAGUGCUACCCGAUCUCUCAUGAAGUAGGUCUGGACAUUGAUGUUGCAUCCAAACCUGCACAAACGAAACAAAUUGAAUUUACUGACUAACACUGUUGUUAUCGAGGUUCAUACAUACUUGCGUAAGAAUCGUUGAGGUAAGAUUGGAUUGGAAAAGAUGGGUGGGUAUUUUGUUUGCUCUCUGAUAUUCUAAAAUACAAUUUUGAUCAUAGUUUGCAAAAUCAGAGACGUUAUCAAUUUCUAUUAUGGAUUUCGAGUAAAGUGACGGUUCGGAAACACAAACCUAAGCUCUUGGGAAAGGGUGAAAUGUCGAAAGAAGUGUUCAUAAUACCAAGUGUGAUUUCAUAGCCGUGCAACAAAAAACAAACCCAGUGCUUUCAGAUCAUUUUCCUAAAAGAAUGUCAAAUCUCAGGGGAGAAAAAAAAUGGAACAAGAUGCAAGACUGGUAUAUCCUAAUCAUGGUCAACACAAUCGCCACGAAGAGCAUUUAAUCAAAGAUUGUUCAUGGAAUGGCUCAACGCCCAUUGAUAUUCUGACAGGAAAUGUAUUCAGCCUCCCAGAAUUGUCACUACGCAUUGCAGAAAAGGGUUAUUUUGAAAGUCAAGUCAAUCCAACUUCAGAUAUUUAGCCAAACACCAACUGAACGACAACAGCAGGCCAACAAUCUCCCAAAAUAUGGUACUGCUGUACCUUUUGUGCUAUCCUCAUCUGCUACAGCAAUCGGCUGUAAUGUAGAACUACCUACUAGUCCUCCUCUUCCAGCCAAUUGUAAAUCAUUUGAACUUUCCCUCUGAAGUCUACAAUGUCAAAAAUUCAGAGGAUGAGUAUGAACUCAGCAGAAAAAGAAACGUCCUCUCACUGUCGACUGCAUUUAUUUUCAGCAAACUUAACAUGUGUAAAUAUUUGUAUGAACAUAAGAUUAAACAACUGAGACAUAAACUCAACAAGUUCCACAGACAUCUGACUAACCGUAAUGGAAGAAUGUGUCCCUGAACAAGGGGGUCAAAAGUAAGUCAGUAUCUGGUGUGGCCACCAGCUGCAUUAAGUACUGCAGUAAAUCUCCUCACCAGAUUUGCCAGUUCUUGCUGUAAGAUACCCCACUCUUCUACCAAGGCACCUGUAAGUUUACAGACAUUUCUGAGGGGAUUGGCCCUAACCCUUAUCCUCUGAUCCUUCAGGUCCCAGACGUGCCCAAUGGGAUUGAGAUCCGGGCUCUUUGCUGGCCAUGGCAAAACACUGACAUUCAUGUGUUGCAGGAAAUCACGCACAGAACGAGCAGUAUGGCUGGUGGCAUUGUCAUGCAGGAGGGUCAUGUCAGGAUGAGCCCGCAGGAAGGGUACCACAUGAGGGAGGAGGAUGUCUUCCAUGUAACGCACAACUUUGAGAUUGCCUGCAAUGACAACAAACUCAGUCCGAUGAUGCUGUGACACACCGCCCCAGACCAUGACGGACCCUCCACCUCCAAAUCGAUCCCGCACUAGGGUACAGGCCUCAGUGUAAUGCUGAUUCCUUCGACGAUAAGUGCGAAUCUGGGGUUUGUGCCCAACAUUGUUGCACAAACCCCAAACCCAACAACUGGGUUUGUGCCCAACACUGUUGCUGGUGAUAUCUGUUGAGGACCUGCCUUACAACAGGCCUACAAGCCCUCAGUCCAGUCUCUCUGUCUAUUGCGGAUAGUUUGAGCUCUGAUGGAGGGAUUGUGCGUUCCUGGUGUAACUCGGGCAGUUGUUGUUGCCAUCCUGUACCUGUCCCGCAGGUGUAAUGUUCGAAAGUACCGAUCCUGUGCAGGUGUUGUUACACGUGGUCUGCCACUGUGAGAACGAUCAGCUGUCCGUCCUGUCUCCCUGUAGCGCUGUCUUAGGCGUCUCACAGUACGGACAUUACAAUUUAUUGCCCUGGCCACAUCUCCAGUCCUCAUGCCUCCUUGCAGCAUGCCUAAGGCACGUCCACGCAGAUGAGCAGGGACCAUGGGCAUUUUCUUUUGGUGAUUUUCAGAGUCAGUAGAACGGUGUCUUUAGUGUUUAAGUUUUUAUAACUGUGACCUUCAUUUCCUACAGUCUUUACGCUGUUAGUGUCUUAAUUACCGUUCUACAGCUGCAUGUUCGUUAAUUGUUUAUGGUUCAUUGUGCAAGCAUGGGAAACUGUUUAAACCCUUUACAAUGAAGAUCUGUGAAGUUAUUUGGAUUUUUACGAUUUAUCUUUGAAAGACAGGGUCCUGAAAAGGGGACAUGUUCUUUUUUUUUCUGAGUUUAUUUGUCAGUGUCGUCAGUUGCUCAACCUUUCCCAAAAUGGGCUGGAAGAUAUUUGAAAGUGCCAAGAAAUAGGCUUAGAAUUAAUUGAAUGUCGGAACUGGAGCAAAAUAUAAUCUUGAUUUGCAUUUUUACUGACUAAUGCCGUAAUGGUUGAGGUUUCGGAUUUAAGUAUGUGGAUUAGUAGAGCUUGCCAACAUGUCUGAGAUAUUGUAGAGUACAACUUUGAUCUUCUUUUGCAAAAUGCGUAACGAUAUUACUUUAAAAAUGGACAGAAGCAAGAUGCAUUACAAGAGAAGAACCUGGGUGGUUAACAUAAUUGUUUGAACUUCCUGAUCCAAAGACAAUGAAAGCAGGACAAUACUCUCUUACAUGGGCAAAAAGCUAUUUGCAUACAGUGCCUUCGGAAAGUUUUCAGACCCCUUGACAUUUUCCACAUUUUGUUAAGUUACAGCCUUUUUGUCAAAUUGAUUAAAUUAAACAAUGUCCUUAGCAAUCGGCGUUCAAAAGUGCUACCCACGCUGCAAGGAAAUGGGCCUGGACCUCGACGUUGCAUCCAAACCUGCAAAAAACAAAACACACAUUUUAGUUACUGGUAAUGGUGUAAAUAUUUAAUAAUAGAAUGUAAAAAGGCUAAAGGAUAUGCAUCUUUUCUCUAUGAUAGUCCAGAAUACAUUGUUGAUCUUAAAGUGGAACUGAUAGCGUUUUAGCAAUAUGCAAUCUUAGAUCUGUUCAUAUACAUCCCAGGAAGAUUAUAUAUAUAUAUAUUUUUUAACGUUUUCUGACACGUGAACACUUUUAGAUAUGGUCAUUUUUAUAAAUUCAUUGAAUGUUUGAGAAUGAAGUAUAGUAAGGCAUUUGUGAAAAUUCUAUGAGAAUAUUGUCAGAGGACAGACCCAGUUUUUGAAAUUAUUUUUAUUGACUGUUCAACUCAAUCUGAUCUUGGACAGUUUUUUUUAGUUUACCAGUGAUUUUGUGUGGCCUACCACUUCGCGGCUGAGCCGUUGUUGCUCCUAGACGUUUCCACUUCAAAAUACCACUUACAGUUGACCGGAGCAGAAAUUUGACAAACUGACUUAUUGGAAAGGUGUCAUCCUAUGACGGUGCCAUGUUGAAAGUCACUGAGCUCUACAGUAAAGCAAUUCUACUGCCAAUGAUUGUCUAUGGAGAUUUUAUACACCUGUUAGCAACGGGUGUGACUGAAAUAGCCGAACCCACUUAUUUGAAGGUGUCCAAAUACUUUUGUGUUAACGGUUAAGUAUUUGAAUAGUGGAUUUUGCAGAUUCCCUUGGCCUCCUGUUGGUUCACUUUUGUUCUUGCUGUGUUUUAUUUCUAGCCUUUAGUCUUUCAACGACAUGUUCAUUGAUGAGCCUAACUUUUCUACCUUUGAAAGCCUCUGUAGAUUAACCUUCUGAUCUUAUUUUUUUGAUGUAAAUAAGGCGAACAAUGAUAUUUUUUUCUAAUUUAAGAGUUGGCCUAGGCAUUGGUAAAAAACCUAUGGAUCAUGUUUUUCUUUUUGUAAGUUUGUUUUUCAGCCAUUUUUGGAGUGACUUAUCUGUGGGCUAGUUCUUUUUUUCUUUGAGGAGGAGAGAUUAAGAAAACACUGCUUCAAGACUUGCUUUGCAGUUACCCAGUUACUUUUCUCUUAAGGUCAACUAUGAAGUGAAAGUAUUUUUAAGGACACACUUUCAUUGACAUUCGUAGGUGUACCUCUGACACCUGUUGCAUCACAAGGUAUGCAAGUAAAUGUGUGACAGAUGCGCAUUGCAGCUUUUUCUACUGCUUGCCAUUCAAACUUUAAAACAUGCAAACCGGUCUGGAAUGGUGUGCUUGUAUACAGUGUUUUGAUACCAGUUAUUCUAGAGCCCGACGGAUAUGGGAUUUUUGUAUCCAAUUUUAGAGGGGAAAUAUUCACAGAUAAUUGAUAUUGGGCCUAUAUUUUUAUGAUUUUAGCUUUUCUGUAUGGAUUGUGAUUAAAAAGAUACUCAAAGAACAUUUAAUAUAAGCACCACAGAAAAAUUAGGAGCACUAGAAAGAUGCAGGAAAGAAAGUAAAUAAAAAAAUGUUCUCUAGUGAAAGGAAGAUAUACCACCCUGAUUCCAGGAAACAACAUGAGCCUCUGAAGACUGAGCGGCCCCAUGCCAGAAUGAGGCAUUCCAUUUGUAGGGCUGUAGCCACUGGUAGUUGUCACUUGCAAGAUACAACAUUUUACGCUGGCACUGUGCUGCCUCUCGCCCCUAAGUGUUGCUUCAGUGAAUGGUCCUUGCUAUCCGGGAUCCGUGAGACAUCGCUACCGCAUAGUUUUGAAACACCAUGUAAACACUGAGAAUGUAAAGCAACUUUUUUGUCUACCUGCCAUUUUCUUUGUUGGACUUUUUGUCACCUUUUUUAGACAAAUGAGUGAAUUGUCUUUGUUUAUAUUUUAAUUUUUUAAUGUUUAAUUUUUUUUAGUCAUUUUGACUCUUAUCCAAGUGCUUACAGUUUCGUGGAUGUUUUUGUGAUAUUCAUUUUUCUGAGCAGAUGUUAGUUUCAGCCAUUUUUGGAGGUUGAUUUAUUUAGUUUAUUAGUCUUCAUACUUCUACAAUUGUGGACUGCCUCAAAGGAGUUUCUUUCUGGCAUACUUUGGAGUGUCUUUGGAACAAAGGGUGCUGCGUCUCUGUGUCAACCGGCUGAGCAUGCGCCCCAAAAGCAGGAUGGUCUUUCUGUCCUCUCUGCCAUGUUUGAUGGAACUCUACAGAAAUGAACGUGGUACCUGCAGGCGUUUGGAAAUUGCUCCCAAGGAUGAACCAGACUUGUGGAGGUCUACAAUAUUUUUUCUUGGCUGAUUUCUUUUGAUUUUCCCAUGAUGUCAAGUAAAGAGGCACUGAGUUUGAAGACUACCAUGGUGGUUUCCAGACUGGGACAGACUGGGAAGGGGAAACAAGUGAACAGAUAUUCGCCAGGACAAUCGCAGAAUGGUCACCAUGGAAACAUACCACCUGUACCAGUUCAGGACAUGAGAUCGCCACGUUGACCAUCUUUAAGACGAAACAGUCUCUGGGUAUCAGUAUCUCAGGUGGGAUGGAGAAUGAGAUGAUGUUUCCAGGAGGAGCUGCCUCUACCAGUGACGUUCUGAUGCUUCUUUAGGAGCUCACUGUAAUAUUCCGUCAUGAUUUAAUCCAAGCUGAGCCAUAUAAUACAAGGCGUGGUAUGAGCUGGUUUCAGUGGACGGUGAGUCUCUGCAGCGUGUGACCCAUCAGCAUGCAGUGUUCAGCAACAAGGCCAAAGACCCCGUGGUGUUUGUCAAGAUCCUCACUGUCAGGCUUACACAAGUACUACACACAGUGUUUUUAUUGAACCUUUAUUGAACUAGGAAAGUCAUUUUAAGGACAAAUUCUUAUUUACAAUGACGGUCUACACCGGCCAAACCCGGACGACGCUGGGCCAAUUGUGCGCCGUCCUAUGGGGACUCGCAAUCACAACCAUAUGUGAUCCAUUCUGGAUUCGAACCAGAGACUGUAGUGACGCCUCUUGCACUGAGAUGUAGUGCCUUAGACUGCUGCGCCACUCGAGAGCUCAGUACUGCUGGCCUGUCUACAAGAAUGCUCUGAGGUGCAGUUCACCCAUCCACUGGAAAUGGAAAUGAUUUGAAAUGGUGGUGUUCAAACCAUGUCGACUUAAAGAGGAUGAGGAUUCCCCUGACGCAGAUGGUUCGCUCCAGCUAGGCUGCAAUGGAAGGGAAUGGUCUAUUCCCCGAGGAGAGGAGCAUGGGUACCUCGGGACCAAUGAGCAUGGGUACCUAACCUGGGACCAAUAAGCUUGCUUCUCUAGGGCAAAAAGGUUAAUGGUUGUUUGCAUAGCAAACAGGAAAUACUGCAAAAUUAAAAUGUUUUUUUUUUUUACACAUGUGGGAUUACUGUGCUUGCUUUGUGUAUAACAAUAAUGUGAUAAAUACUAUUUAUCAAAUAUGAA